rnacentral:tmRNA from 1 species
ACUCUUGCGCAGCGCGGCGCAGCCUCUAUAUUGGGGGUGCCGGGCUUGCCCGGCUAUGAUGCUAAACCCGUCACGGAAUAGACGUUACGGACCCGGGGGCGGUACCCGGCGUCUCCACCAAAUUUUCUGCCUGCCCUGUCUACAGGGCCUUGCAAAGGGCAGGAAGCAUGGGGACGAAACAGGAUCGACGUGCGUAGUAAAGGUUUCGGCUGUAUCCGGCAUGGUAUCCACCGUCAUCGGGCCAAUCACAACAAGUGCCAACGACAACGUUGAACUUGCCGCUGCCGCUUAAUUGCCGGUAAGCGCGGUCCGGGGGGCACCGGGCAACAGAAGCCCCCCACU